GUUUGACUGUAAAAUGACUGAUAUGUUUGUUAAAACAAAAUUAAAACGAGAAGCCCAAAACAGAAGUCGCAAAUAAAAUAUGGUCGGAAUUGCGUUACUUGCAGGAUGAGGAUUCCAGUGAAUCCGAGCUGGACCUGGAGGCAUCUCAUGAUACGUCCUCUGAAGCGGGACCUCUUGGGAGUAACAGUAACUCUGAUGAUGACCAAAAGACUGAUUUUUUUCUAUACACACAAUCUAAGACUGCCUGGCGGGUGCCAAUGGUACUUGAAAGAACAAUACAAAAAUUUGUUUACUUUCCUAAAAAUAAGAACGCUCAAUCAACAAACCGUUUAUUUGUGACGGGAUCCAUUCAAAAGAUCGUCAUUUUCUACAACGAUGAGAAAUCCGCAACCAUA